rnacentral:rRNA from 1 species
AUUGAACGCUGGCGUCAGGCCUAACACAUGCAAGUCGAGCGAGCGGCGGACGGGUGAGUAAUGUAUGGUGACUGCCCGAUAGAGGGGGAUAACUACUCGAAUCGGUAGCUAAUACCGCAUACUAUCGGAUACCCCAUAGGGGAUUCGCUAGUAGGUGAGGUAAUGGCUCACCUAGGCGACGAUCCCUAGCUGGUCUGCGAUGAUGAUCAGCGGCACCGGGACAUGGACACAGCCCAGAGUCCUGCGGUGGCAGCAGUGGGGAAUAGAGCACAAUGGGCGGAAGACUAGUGCAGCCGUGGCCCGGGUAGGUAGCAGGCACUAGAGUUGUAAAGUACUUUAAGUCGUGAGGCGGUACCGACAGAAGAAGCACCGGCUAACUCCGUGCCAGCAGGCGCGGUAAUAC